GUGUGUAACAACUCACCUGCCGAAGCAACUAGCCCUGAAAAUGGAUGGCGCUGAAGCGUUGAACCUAUACCCUACCGAGAGUUUAAUCUUGCAAUGAACAAAUACUCUCGAGUAAGAGUAACGCAGUGAUAGCGUAGAGGGGAUAGAUUUGUGUCUACCUGGAGCUUUCACUGUUGCAGAUCUUGGUGGUAGUAGCAA
rnacentral:rRNA from 1 species